rnacentral:rRNA from 1 species
GACGAACGCUGGCGGCGUGCCUAAUACAUGCAAGUCGAACGAGAGCGACCGGUGCUUGCCCUGGUCAAUCUAGUGGCGAACGGGUGAGUAACACGUGGGUAACCUGCCCAUCAGAGGGGGAUAACAUCCGGAAACGGAUGCUAAAACCGCAUAGGUCUUCGAACCGCAUGGUUUGAAGAGGAAAAGAGGCGCAAGCUUCUGCUGAUGGAUGGACCCGCGGUGCAUUAGCUAGUUGGUGAGGUAACGGCUCACCAAGGCCGUGAUGCAUAGCCGACCUGAGAGGGUGAUCGGCCACAUUGGGACUGAGACACGGCCCAAACUCCUACGGGAGGCAGCAGUAGGGAAUCUUCCGCAAUGGAAGCAAGUCUGACGGAGCAACGCCGCGUGAGUGAAGAAGGUUUUCGGAUCGUAAAACUCUGUUGUUAGAGAAGAACAAGUGCUAGAGUAACUGUUAGCGCCUUGACGGUAUCUAACCAGAAAGCCACGGCUAACUACGUG